CACAGAGAGCUGCUCUCGGGUGACGAGCGGCGGACGGGUGAGUAAUGUCUGGGAAACUGCCUGAUGGAGGGGGAUAACUACUGGAAACGGUAGCUAAUACCGCAUAAUGUCGCAAGACCAAAGUGGGGGACCUUCGGGCCUCAUGCCAUCAGAUGUGCCCAGAUGGGAUUAGCUAGUAGGUGGGGUAACGGCUCACCUAGGCGACGAUCCCUAGCUGGUCUGAGAGGAUGACCAGCCACACUGGAACUGAGACACGGUCCAGACUCCUACGGGAGGCAGCAGUGGGGAAUAUUGCACAAUGGGCGCAAGCCUGAUGCAGCCAUGCCGCGUGUGUGAAGAAGGCCUUCGGGUUGUAAAGCACUUUCAGCGGGGAGGAAGGCGAUGAGGUUAAUAACCUCAUCGAUUGACGUUACCCGCAGAAGAAGCACCGGCUAACUCCGUGCCAGCAGCCGCGGUAAUACGGAGGGUGCAAGCGUUAAUCGGAAUUACUGGGCGUAAAGCGCACGCAGGCGGUCUGUCAAGUCGGAUGUGAAAUCCCCGGGCUCAACCUGGGAACUGCAUUCGAAACUGGCAGGCUAGAGUCUUGUAGAGGGGGGUAGAAUUCCAGGUGUAGCGGUGAAAUGCGUAGAGAUCUGGAGGAAUACCGGUGGCGAAGGCGGCCCCCUGGACAAAGACUGACGCUCAGGUGCGAAAGCGUGGGGGAGCAAACAGGAUUAGAUACCCUGGUAGUCCACGCCGUAAACGAUGUCGAUUUGGAGGUUGUGCCCUUGAGGCGUGGCUUCCGGAGCUAACGCGUUAAAUCGACCGCCUGGGGAGUACGGCCGCAAGGUUAAAACUCAAAUGAAUUGACGGGGGCCCGCACAAGCGGUGGAGCAUGUGGUUUAAUUCGAUGCAACGCGAAGAACCCUUACCUGGUCUUGACAUCCACAGAACUUAGCAGAGAUGCUUUGGUGCCUUCGGGAACUGUGAGACAGGUGCUGCAUGGCUGUCGUCAGCUCGUGUUGUGAAAUGUUGGGUUAAGUCCCGCAACGAGCGCAACCCUUAUCCUU
rnacentral:rRNA from 1 species